rnacentral:rRNA from 1 species
UACGGGGGGGGCAAGCGUUGUUCGGGAUUACUGGGCGUAAAGGGCUCGUAGGCGGCCAACUAAGUCAGACGUGAAAUCCCUCGGCUUAACCGGGGAACUGCGUCUGAUACUGGAUGGCUUGAGAUUGGGAGAGGGAUGCGGAAUUCCAGGUGUAGCGGUGAAAUGCGUAGAUAUCUGGAGGAACACCGGUGGCGAAGGCGACAUCCUGGACCAACACUGACGCUGAGGAGCGAAAGCCAGGGGAGCAAACGGG